rnacentral:tRNA from 1 species
ACCGUAGCGGCAUCGACGGAGAGAUGCAGCAGGCUGUAACCCUGCCGCCACAGGCUGAGAAGGUUCGAAUCCUUCCUGCGGUA